rnacentral:rRNA from 1 species
GCCUAGCCAUAACACACAAUUAAACUACAAAUUGUUCGCCAAACAACUACGAGUAAUACUUAAAACUUAAAAGACUUGACGGUACUUCACCCCGACCUAGAGGAGCCUGUCUAAUAACCGAUAACCCACGAUUAACCCAACCACUUCUUGCCCUACAGUCUAUAUACCGCCGUCGCCAGCUUACCUUGUAAAAGAAAUAAAGUGAGCCAAAUAGUAACACACUAAAACGACAGGUCGAGGUGUAACCUAUGAAGAGGCUAAGAUGGGCUACAUUCUCUAACAGAGAUACGAACAACACUAUGAAAUUAGUGUUCGAAGACGGAUUUAGCAGUAAGAUAAGAAUAGAACACCUAACUGAAAAUAACGCAAUGAAGUGCGCACACACCGCCCGUCACCCCUGCCACCACAAUAUUAAGCAUCAAUAAACUAACCCAACAAACUAACCAGGGCAAGUCGUAACAUGGUAGGUGUACUGGAAAGUGUACCUAGAAA